CGCGUAGGUGGUUGCUUAAGUUAUAUGUGAAAGCCCCGGGCUUAACCUGGGAACUGCAUCUAAUACUGAGCAGCUUGAGUAGAAUAGAGGGGAGUGGAAUUUCCGGUGUAGCGGUGGAAUGCGUAGAUAUCGGAAGGAACACCAGUGGCGAAGGCGGCUCCCUGGAUUCAUACUGACACUGAGGCGCGAAAGCGUGGGGAGCAAACAGGAUUAGAUACCCUGGUAGUCCACGCCGUAAACGAUGAGAACUAGAUGUUAGGAGGGUUACCUCUUAGUAUCGCAGCUAACGCAUUAAGUUCUCCGCCUGGGGAGUACGGUCGCAAGAUUAAA
rnacentral:rRNA from 1 species